CUCGGCAACGGAUAUCUCGGCUCUUGCAUCGAUGAAGAACGUAGCGAAAUGCGAUAAUUGGUGUGAAUUGCAGAAUCCCGUGAACCAUCGAGUCUUUGAACGCAAGUUGCGCCCGAAGCCAUUAGGCUGAGGGCACGUCUGCCUGGGCGUCACGC
rnacentral:rRNA from 1 species